UGGCGGUUUUGCGGAAUAGAAAAGGGGGAAAGGUGGGGAAAAAGAUAGAGAAAUCAGAUUGUUGCUGUCUGUGUAGAAAGAAGUAGACAUGGGAGACUUCACUUUGUUCUGUACUAAGAAAAAUUCUUCUGCCUUGGGAUGCUGUUGAUCUAUGACCUUACCCCCAACCAUGUGCUCUCUGAAACAUGUGCUGUGUCCACUAAGGGUUAAAUGGAUUAAGGGCUGUGCAAGAUGUGCUUUGUUAAACAGAUGCUUGAAGGCAGCAUGCUCGUUAAGAGUCAUCACCACUCCCUAAUCUCAAGUACCCAGGGACACAAACACUGCGGAAGGCCGCAGGGUCCUCUGCCUAGGAAAACCAGAGACCUUUGUUCACUUGUUUAUGUGCUGACCUUCCCUCCACUAUUGUCCUAUGCCCCUGCCAAAUCCCCCUCUGUGAGAAACACCCAAGAAUGAUCAAUAAAAAAAAAAAAGAAGAGAAGAGACACAGAUACAGAAACACACACAGAGGGAAGGCAGCUGUAUGAAGAUGGAAGCAGAGAAGGGAGUUAUGUGGCCACAAAUCAAUAAAUACCAAGGAUUGGCCAGGCAUGGUGCUGCAUACCUAUAAUCCCAGUACUUUGGGAGGCUGAGGUGGGAGGAUUGCUUGAGCCCAGGAGUUUGAGACCAGCCUGGGCAAAAAAUAUAGUGAAACCCCAUUUCUAUCAAAACCAAAAGCAAACAAACAAAAAACCCAAGGAUUGCUUUCCACCUGAAGCUGGAUGAGGCAAAAGAAGAUCCUCCUGCAGAGUCUUUGGACAGAGCACAGUCCUGCUGAUGCCUUAAUUUUGGACUUCUGACCUCUGAAAUAGAGUAAUUUCUUAAAAAGCCACCUAGGUUGUGACAAUUUGUUAUGGCAACCCUAGGAAACUAAUACAAUUGUGUCAUUGUUUUUUUCUCUCUACUAGUUUUAAAAUUGUAAGCUUUUUUUUCUGUCCUUUUAGUGGCUGCUCUAGAACUAACAGCAGGCCUCAUGAAUGUUUUCUAAUCACAAAUUUGUGUGUUUAUUUCUUUUGAAAGCAUUAAUUGCAAGCCUAUUAUGUGCCAGAACAUAUUCUAGAUGCUGGGGAUAUAGCAACAAGUCAGGUAAACAUUUCUGCCUUUCUGGAGAUUGUACCCUAGUACCAGGAAAUAUACAAUAUGCUAUAAAAAUAAAUAAUAGAAUGGCAAAAAAAAAAAAAAAAAAAAGAACAAAGCUGGAGGCAUCCCGCUACCUGACUUCAAACUAUACUACAAGCUAGAGUAACCAAAACAGCAUGGUACUGGUACCAAAACAGCAUGGUACUGGUACCAAAACAGCAUGGUACUGGUACCAAAACAGAUAUAUAGAUCAAUGGAACAGAACAGAGGCCUCAGAAAUAACAUCACACAUCUACAACCAUCUGAACUUUGACAAACCUGAAAAAAACAAGCAAUAUCAAAAGGGUUCCCUAUUUAAUAAAUGGUGCUGGGAAAACUGGUUAGCUAUAUGUAGAAAGCUGAAACUGGAUCCCUUCUUUACACCAUAUACAAAAAUUAACUAGAGGCAUUAAAUACUUAAAUGUAAGACCUAACACUGUAAAAAUCCUAAAAGAAAACCUAGGCAAUACCAUUCAGGACAUAGACAUGGGCAAGGACUUCAUGACUAAAAUACCAAAAGCAAUGGCAACAAAAGCCAAAAUAGACAAAUGGGAUCUAAUUAAACUAAAGAGCUUCUGCACAGCAAAAGAAACUACCAUCAGAGUGAACAGGUAGCCUACAGAAUGGGAGAAAAUCUUUGCAGUCUACCCAUCUGAAAAAGGGCUAAUAUUCAGAAUCUACAAAGAACGUAAACAAAUUUACAAGAAAUAAACAAACAACCCCAUCAAAAAGUGGGCAAAGGAUAUGAACAGACACUUCUCAAAAGAAGACAUUUAUGCAGCCAACAGACAUAUGAAAAAAUGCUCAUCACUUGUCAUCAGAGAAAUGCAUAUCAAAACCACAAUGAGAUACCAUCUCACACCAGUUAGAAUGGCCAUCAUUAAAAAGUCAGGAAACAACAGGUGCUGGAGAGGAUGUGGAGAAAUAGGAACACUUUUACACUGUUGGUGGGACUGUAAACUAGUUCAACCAUUGUGGAAGACAAUGUGGUGAUUCCUCGAGGAUCUAGAACUAGAAAUACCAUUUGACCCAGCCAUCCCAUUACUGGGUAUAUACCCAAAGGAUUAUAAAUCAUGCUACUAUAAGGACACAUGCACACGUAUGUUUAUUGGGGCACUAUUCACAAUAGCAAAGACUUGGAACCAACCCAAAUAUCCAUCAAUGAUAGACUAGAUUGAGAAAAUGUGGCACAUAUACACCAUGGAAUACUAUGCAGUCAUAAAAAAGGAUGAGUUCAUGUCCUUUGUAGGGACAUGGAUAAAGCUGGAAACCAUCAUUCUAAGCAAACUAUCACAAGGACAGAAAACCAAACACCGCAUGUUCUCACUCAUAGGUGGGAGUUGAACAAUGAGAACACAUGGACACAGGGUGGGGAACCUCACACACCGGGGCCUGUCAGUGGGUGGGGGCCUGGGGGAGGUAUAGCAUUAGGAGAAAUACCUAAUGUAAAUGACGAAUUGAUGGGUGCAGCAAACCAACAUGGCACAUGUAUACCUAUGUAACAAACCUGCACGUUUUGCACAUGUACCCUAGAACUUAAAAUAUAAUAAAAAAACCCACAGUGAUAUGACAAUCAAACUUGUUUUUAAUGCCUUCCAGGGAAAUCCUUUUGUUACUUAUCAAAUUAUUUAAAGAAAGCAUUUCUUAUUAUAUUUACCUUGGAACAUUUCCCCAGAAAGGAGAUGGGGCUGUUCUUGGCUUGAUACGGUGCCCAGAGCUUUUUUAUUUGUGUGCAGUUGAUGAUUGAUUCUCUGAGAUACAGAAAACAGUUGAUCGAUCUCAAUAGAUAAGGGAAUUUACCUUUUUUCUUUUUGAGCAUGAGUUACUCUAUGUGCAUUUUCUCAUUUCAUCCUCUGAACAAUCUUCCUGUCACCAUUUUAUAAACGCAGAAACAGAGAUUCAAAAGGGUCAGAUCACUGGCUCCAGGUCAACUCUACUACUAAAUAGAAAAGCAAGGACCAAGAUUCAGAUCUUUGUGACCCUCAAUGCCACUAUGCCAUGCGAUGAGGCCUGCCUCCUUUAGAGGCCAACUAAUAGGCCAACUUGAUUUUCUUGAGGAAUGGCCGAAUGGAAGUUGAAUGGUUGAAGGUGACUGGCAAACAGAGAAACAAGGCACCAAGAACUGGCUAUUUCCAAACGUGGGCAAUCAGCUUCUGAAUGAAUAGUUCAGAAUGAUGCAGCUCUGGAUGUUGGAAAAGACAAUUCCGGCGUUUUACUCUUCUGACCAGUUUCUUCGUUUUCAUAACUCUACUUGAAGAACAUGUGAUGUUUGCCAGUGUCUGACAUUACGUACCUCACAGCUUACUGAAUCUGAAAACAGGAGAUAGAGAUGGAAAGGAAAGCCUCAGGAACUUGUUGCAAUAGGGACUGCCAUGCCCCGUUGCACUAUUGGUGGAAGAGAGGUCCACACAGUGCCUACGAUGAGCGAUUUGUUCAUAUCUAUCCAGACUGCAGGUGCAUACAGCCACUCAUCCUCAAAUGCCAUCUUCAGGAGUUUAUGCUGCACACAGACUGGCACAUGUGCAGGAAGACAUAGUGCAGGGCUACUUGCUACAACAUUGUUGGUGAUGGCAACAUAUUGGAAGCAACCUGAAUUUUUGUUAAUAGAGGAUUGGCUACAUAAAUGAUGCUAAUCUAUACAACUGGAGUACUAUGAUGCCAUAAAAAAGAAUGUACAAGGUCUUUAUGUUUGGAAAGAUCUCUAAGAUAUAAUGGUGAGUGAAAAGUGUAAGAUGCAGAGCACUGUGUUUUACAGGCUGUCAUUUGGGGGCUGACAACAUCUAUUCAAAUGUGCUUUCAUAUAUAUUUUCAGCACUUUGGAAGGAAAAACAU